AGCCGCCUCGUGAAAGGGGCACUCACAGUGUUGAGCGCCCACAGAGUGGCUCCCUGGGGCAGAGUCUCGCCUCAAUGCCUCCCGAAGGAACCCUGUAGCAGCAGCAGGACCACCCUCCGUGCUUGACAAAUGAGGCGCCUGGGGCUUGGAGAAGCUGGGGUUAUCAGGGUGACCAGCAUUAAAUCAUCCAGCGGUGGCUCCUGGCAUGAGUGAGUGGUGAGGAGGCUGUGGCUGCAGCCUUGAACCUCAGGAUAACCUUGUGUUCCUCGUACGCUAAGGGGAAACUGAGGCACGUGCCCCACCUGCUCACAGUCACGGGGCAGAGGCCAAUGGACCGACGGUGCCUCUCAGGCCCCGGGUCCGCACUGGCUCCUGUCUGCUGCCUUGCUGUGGGCAUGAGGAACGGACAUGCUUCCAGAGCAGGGUCUGCCCUAGGGGUCUCCUCCAGGCCAGGUGCCCUUCCCAGGAGUGGCGGCUCCAUCUGUCCAGUGCCGUCCACCUGGACACGCACCGCGUCCUGGCCACCUGAGCGAUUGUUAUUCUGCACACACAACACCCAGAGGCCUUCGGGAAUGGAGCCGUAUUAAUAACUGUGCACAAGCACCCACCGGGUAUGGAAAUUCACAGUGAAGUUAAUGAUGUCAUUAAUAUUGUGCCCGGCUCCGCAGCCGCCUAAGUGGGCCACCCGUUCCUUGGUGGCCAUUUUUCAAGCUGCAAUCUCGUGGUGUUCCUAGAAGAGCCGAGUGCCCGGCCGCUAACUAGUCCUCCACAGAUGCCUUUACGCCGAUAAUGAUGUUUCCUGAUGAAGUCGCCCCUGCUUCCCGGAAAAGCGCUCCUCCA